rnacentral:tRNA from 3 species
AGAGACUUAGGUUAACCAUAAACCAAAAGCCUUCAAAGCUUUAAAUGGGGGUUAAAAUCCCCCAGACUCUG